AUUGAACGCUGGCGGCAGGCCUAACACAUGCAAAUCGAGCGGAUGAAGGGAGCUUGCUCCUGGAUUCAGCGGCGGACGGGUGAGUAAUGCCUAGGAAUCUGCCUGGUAGUGGGGGAUAACGUCCGGAAACGGGCGCUAAUACCGCAUACGUCCUGAGGGAGAAAGUGGGGGAUCUUCGGACCUCACGCUAUCAGAUGAGCCUAGGUCGGAUUAGCUAGUUGGUGGGGUAAAGGCCUACCAAGGCGACGAUCCGUAACUGGUCUGAGAGGAUGAUCAGUCACACUGGAACUGAGACACGGUCCAGACUCCUACGGGAGGCAGCAGUGGGGAAUAUUGGACAAUGGGCGAAAGCCUGAUCCAGCCAUGCCGCGUGUGUGAAGAAGGUCUUCGGAUUGUAAAGCACUUUAAGUUGGGAGGAAGGGCAGUAAGCUAAUACCUUGCUGUUUUGACGUUACCAACAGAAUAAGCACCGGCUAACUUCGUG
rnacentral:rRNA from 1 species